GGGAUAUAGCUUAGUUGGUAGAGGACUUGCCUUGCAUGCACAAAGCCCUGGGUUCUAAUCCCCAGAUCUCA
rnacentral:tRNA from 1 species